GGCAGUCCUCAUCUGCAAGGCAUCCCCCCACCAGUCCAGUUUCUCCCCUCCACUGAGUCCUGAGGCUUCAGUAGAAUGAGGGUAACUUGUGUUGAUUCCUUUCCCCCCUAUUUUAAAAAUAUAGCCCCCCUUCUUCCCUGCUUUGCUUUAAUCACUUUAGAACAACCCUGGAGGAGCGAGACUAAGGUAAAUAAAUGUGGGAACCAGGGGAGUUCUUGAACUGUUAAAGAAAUCAAUAUAAAUCACAGAGUAACCUUGCCCUGAUAUCUUCCUUACCACCUCUGAGGCUCUACCUGCCUUUGUCUAACAACAAUCUCAGUUAAUUAGAUAAUUAAUCUAAUUAUCUAAUUAGGUGGAAUUGCUGAUAGCUAUUCCACCUAAUUAGGCCAGUGGCUGUAUCUCAGCAGCAGCAGUUCUUUCUUUCUGGCUAACCCUCCACCUUCUGCCAUGCCUGAAACCAGGCACUGACACAAUUCAUGGCUCUUUGUUUGCUUUAACCAAAACCACCUGGAAAUGAUUUUACAUUUUUUACUUGGGCUUCCCUUGAAUGAAAGCAGGAUGGCCAGUUGGAAAGUAGAAAAGGAAGCUCUCAGCACAAGACUAAUUUUUUUUAGCAAUGAAUGCAGUAAGCUCUUCAGUUUUUUAAUUUCAUUUUCCUGGUGUAAGAUUAAUUUUAGCUCUGAACACAGCAACAUGUUAUGUUUGAAUUGAUCCUAGGGAAACAUAUUGCUCUGAGGCUGGGAAAACAACGUGUGCAGACCCAUCUUUUUCAACGUGAGGACAUGCAGCCCUGAUUUCUGCUAAUGGCAGAAAUUCCUGUCUUGGUGUGUCCAUGUCUGGAAGGAUGAACAGGGAAGUGUUGCCUGCAGGAUGCAGCAUCCCCAAAGCUCCAGCUGGAUCAACACAUGAGCCCACCGGUGGACACCUCACUACUCCAGGAAUCAUCCAUGAAGGUACAGACACCCAAGUAUGGCUUGAAGAGUGUUUAACAAGCUGGAAUCAUCAUCCCCCGUUGCAUAUACGUGACUGAAUGAAGUCAUGCUGUACUUGGGUUGCCAAGCUUCUAACAUGUGACUUUAGAAGUGUUAUUUGCUGAGGAAGGAAGGUUUCCCGGGGAAUUGAUAACAAAGGAUGUAGUAGUUUUUUGGAAAGAAAACAACUUUUGCUAUGAAAAGAAAACAGAAACUCUGAAACUUUUUUUUGAGGAGAUAAAUUGCUUUCUAAA